ensembl:lncRNA
GUACACAGCAGGAAGUUUUGAGAGAGAGAAAAUGGACCAUCAUUUCAAAACGUGCUGCUAUUGAAUACAGAUCGCCCCGUGAUCAAUUUGAUCGAUUAUUAACGUUUACUAAUACCUAAAGUUGGAUUACAAAAGUAGUUUGAAGUGUUUUGUCAAAGUUUAUAGGCAACUUUUUUAAUUUAAAAAAAUGACGUUGCGUUUUGGAACGGUGCUUUUUCAUGGAUCAGACGGACUUCAUAAAUGGACAUUUUGGGUAUACAUGGACGGAUUUAAUUUAAAAAAAGACCCAAUUGUGAUGUUUAUGGGACAUAUAGGAGUGCCAACAAAGAAGCUCGUCAAAGGGAAGGGGGACAAUGUGCUGGAUAAUGAGGUUGUCUUGACCAAGAUGAAGCUCUUCAACAACUUCCAUGAGAAGCUCCUCAACAACACUGAUGAUUCUUCAUCCACUAUCUCCAUGUCAGUAUCUGAGCAGGACAUCUCAGAGCCUGUCAAAGGCUUGAAGGGGAAUGCUGAUCUGGAUAACAUGCCUGGAAAGCCCCUGAUGGAGUCAAACUCAGGCUACCUCUCUGACAUUUUCUCAGACUCUCAGCUUCCCAUGCUGUACAAGUUUGAGUCGGAGGACUCUGGAGUGGAACUGCCCAGUGGAACCAACUCUCCCUCCACACCCACCGGCUCAGAGCAGAGCUUUGUGGUCCACAGCCGGGAACCCUCCUAUGACUCCUGUAACCUCAAUACUCCUGUCCCUACCCCAGGUCCACUCCUCACCAUUGAACAGUGCUCUGACACCAAACAAACAGAGGAUAUAAGAGACACACCAUGUACGACUGUAGACAAUGCUGUGCUGGAGUGUAAUACUGUGGAGUUGGGGGCUGAACUCAACACAGGGGUUGAGAGGGUAGACCUUCAUAUAACUGAGAAGGACAUACAUAUGGAGAGGGCCCAACACAGGGCCUUGAAGGACACUGCUGAGGACAGUGACAGGGUUUCAGAGGAGCUGGGUGAGAACAGGGCUGUGACUGACGGGAUCAACUCAGCGAACACAAGGUCCAAGAGCCAGUGCUCUACAGGGGCCUGUGAUGAUAUGACAGGAGUUAACUUUGAGCAGCGGCCUCUGAGGAAAAGCACGACGAGCGACAGCCUAGAGGAGUAUAUGGAGGAAUGCUGUCGACUGAGUGAGGUGCACCAGGCCAGCUCCAACCCCCUGGGCUCCGGACUGGGCUACCUGGAGCACAUCUGCCAGCUCAUUGAGAAGAUUGGGCAGCUCCAGGAACACAACCUAAGGCUGCAGAAGCAAAUCUGUGGGCUGCAAAAGGAUGGAAGGAUGACCAAGACCAAAGAGGACUUCUUCCUGCAGCACUGUAGCUGUGGAACGGCCGGCCUGGCCUUCCAUGAACAGAAAAGACACUCUAGGAGUGAGUUCCUGACCACCUCCGUGAGCGGCACACUCUCUGACCUCUCCACCAUCCCUGAGGUCACACACCACACAGGACUCACAGCCAGGGGAGAGAGUGACCAGGGUGGAUGCCAGCCCCUGGUGCCCCUUUGGAAGAGGGGCCUGAAUCGGAUGAGCUACACAGAGGGAGAUACGCGCUCCUAUCUAUCUGACAGUACAGAGGGUCUCUCUGCCCCACACAGACGGCUGAGUGAGAACUACACGUGGGGCAGAGUGAAGGAUCUGGUGAAGAAGACCAAGCUGAGGAACCAGAGCAGACUGGGACAAACAUCCACCUCCCUCAAGAGAUCCUGUCCACAGCUUUACCGCCCUGACCUGGGACCAGUGGACCUACCAGGAAGAAACAGGAACUCCAUGAUCGCCUUGGGCCAUCAGAACAAACUGGACUUCCAGUGGCCCAGAUAACCAUUGUUGAUAUGAAACAGACGGCCCGAAGUGGGAAGAGAAUGCCCGGAAGGUGAAGUUGCACAGAUUCUCGACUGGACUGAGAGAGUAGUGUGUAAGGAGGGAUGUGAGAAAUAACAUUUGUGAUGGAUGACAAAACUUUGAGUGAGGAGUGAAAAGAAAACAAAAAGAGGGAUGGUCAUAGACAUCUCUCUUGAGAUACAAUUCUAAACUAAGGGAUUGUAUUGUUUCAGAUAAGGGAACAUUGGUAUUUAUAUGAGAACAGACAUGCAUGUACUCCACAAUGAACAUGAAUACGAUACAAAUGAUUUAAUCUUGUACUAUAAAUUCAUAUUGUAAUGCUUUCUCUAAAUAUGUGUUAUGUUAGUGACAUUUCAGUACUAUGUGUUGAUGGAGAAAACAACAACUCUUUGACAUGGUUGUUCCAACUAAGAAAUAGCCUAGACAAUAUUCUGGGGUGAAAUUAAAGGGAUAGUUCACCCAAAUUACAAAAUGACAUUGGUUUCCUUACACUGUAAGCCGUCUAUGGACAAGCUAUGGCAGCAAUGCAUCCUUUGGUUUAGUUUCCCUGCCACUGUUUCAACAUGCUAGCAUUUUAGCAUUUGUGGCACAAAUCCCAUUCAAGUCACGGGACCGAUAUUAUUCGCGCAUCAUGCCCAAAUCAAUACAUGAUUUAAAUUCUAGAUAAGAGCGUUUGCUAAAUGACUAAAAUGAAAAUGUAAAUGUAAAAAUCAUUUGAAAGUAUCUAAAGUCGCUUGUCAAACUCAACAAAGUCACAUAGAUUAUUUGAACAUGAUGCUUGAAAAAUAUUAAUUUCGGUCCCAUGACAGGGUAAGGAAACCAAUAUGUAAUUUGGUGUUUGGGUGAACUAAUCGCUUUGGUUAUCAUGCCCCCUUGAACAAAUGUGAAACAUACACAUAUCAUACAUAUUUGAGGAUUGUACUUAACUAUUCAACACAUUUUGUAUGAAUUCUCUUCUU